rnacentral:rRNA from 1 species
GACGAACGCUGGCGGCGUGCUUAACACAUGCAAGUCGAACGGAAAGGCCCUGCUUUUGUGGGGUGCUCGAGUGGCGAACGGGUGAGUAACACGUGAGUAACCUGCCCUUGACUUUGGGAUAACUUCAGGAAACUGGGGCUAAUACCGGAUAGGAGCUCCUGCUGCAUGGUGGGGGUUGGAAAGUUUCGGCGGUUGGGGAUGGACUCGCGGCUUAUCAGCUUGUUGGUGGGGUAGUGGCUUACCAAGGCUUUGACGGGUAGCCGGCCUGAGAGGGUGACCGGCCACAUUGGGGCUGAGAUACGGCCCAGACUCCUACGGGAGGCAGCAGUGGGGAAUAUUGCACAAUGGGCGGAAGCCUGAGGCAGCAACGCCGCGUGCGGGAUGACGGCCUUCGGGUUGUAAACCGCUUUCGCCUGUGACGAAGCGUGAGUGACGGUAAUGGGUAAAGAAGCACCGGCUAACUACGU